rnacentral:rRNA from 1 species
UACGUAGGGGGCAAGCGUUGUCCGGAUUUAUUGGGCGUAAAGAGCGUGUAGGCGGCUAGAUAGGUCCGUUGUGAAAACUCGAGGCUCAACCUCGAGACGCCGGUGGAAACCAUCUAGCUAGAGUCCGGAAGAGGAGAGUGGAAUUCCUGGUGUAGCGGUGAAAUGCGCAGAUAUCGUAAGGAAGACCAGUGGCGAAGGCGGGUCUCUGGACAGUUCCUGACGCUGAGGCACGAAGGUCAGGGGAGCAAACGGG